rnacentral:sRNA from 1 species
CCACCCAUUGCGUCAUUGCAGGCUCAUGCCCUGUCUAUGAUGUUUCAUGUACGGUGGCUAAAUUUCACGCCUGGCCACAGAAGUAUCAUUUCUGUGCCUUUGCCAUUCAUGUCUUCUAAGCCUCCGAAAUAAGAGGAGCAGGACCAGAAGAAGAGCAGCCGUUGUUCUCUGCAGACAGACACAUUCUCUCACAUGUCCCCGGGGCCACAGACCUCUUUAUGUUCUAACUGGGUCUGCACAGAAGAGGCAGGAGACAGGCGGCUGAGCCAGAGGCCAACUGCAGAGGAACUGGAACAGAGGAACAUUUUGAAACCUCGGAAUGAACAAGAGGAACAGGAGGAGAAGAGAGAGAUCAAGAGGAGGCUAACCCGAAAGCUCAGUCAAAGGCCCACGGUGGAAGAGCUUCGGGAAAGAAAGAUCCUCAUCCGCUUCAGUGACUACGUGGAGGUGGCUGACGCUCAGGACUAUGACCGCAGGGCAGAUAAGCCGUGGACCCGCCUCACCGCUGCAGACAAAGCUGCCAUCCGAAAGGAGCUCAACGAAUUCAAAAGCACUGAGAUGGAAGUUC